GAUGAACGCUGGCGGCGUGCUUAACACAUGCAAGUCGAACGAUGAAGCCCAGCUUGCUGGGUGGAUUAGUGGCGAACGGGUGAGUAACACGUGAGUAACCUGCCCUUAACUCUGGGAUAAGCCUGGGAAACUGGGUCUAAUACCGGAUAGGAGCGUCCACCGCAUGGUGGGUGUUGGAAAGAUUUAUCGGUUUUGGAUGGACUCGCGGCCUAUCAGCUUGUUGGUGAGGUAAUGGCUCACCAAGGCGACGACGGGUAGCCGGCCUGAGAGGGUGACCGGCCACACCGGGAAUGAGACACGGCCCAGACUCCUACGGGAGGCAGCAGUGGGGAAUAUUGCACAAUGGGCGCAAGCCUGAUGCAGCGACGCCGCGUGAGGGAUGAAGGCCUUUCGGGUGUAAACCUCUUUCAGUAGGGAAGAAGCGAAAGUGACGGUACCUGCAGAAGGAGCACCGGCUAACUACGUG
rnacentral:rRNA from 1 species